ACGUUGCUUAAAUAUUUCCUCAUAAUUCUGGACGGUCAUAGGUGCCGGUGGUCCUAGCCCCUGUCCAGAAGAGAUGACACUAAAUUAUUUUUCCUAUAAUAUUCACUGGCACAAAAACCACAACUAACUGGUUCCUUGGACUAAUUUCAGUUUUUACCUUCACCAUUUUACUGUAGCAAUGAAUACAAUUAGCAUCAUUGUUGAAUAAAACAUGAAUAAAAAUACAUAUUUUUAUUCAUGUACUUUUUUUCUCUCGUUUCUGUGGUUUGUUAAUGUAAAAAAAGUCUGCUGUGUCUUUUUUUACUAUGUGGAAGUAAAUGCCUUAUAUUAAUAAAUCAAGCACUAAGGAUGAACAGUCCUCAGUUAUAUUGAAAUAUUCAAUUACGUAAAAAAAAACCUAAAAUACUGUUAAAAAAAGAUCUUUAUAUAAAACCAAUAUCAUGGCACCACUUGCAAAAUUGCAUCUGAAAGAACCACAACACGUUUAGAAGUGUGUUGUCAGAGUUCACUGAAGCUAAGGUGUUUGGUCACAGUGCACAGCACCAGGCCCAGAGAAAAGUAAACACCUAAAGUAAACUCAAACAACUCAUCAACUGUCAAGCAUAGUGGAGGAGGGCUGAUGAUUUGAGACUGAAUCCAGGAGAUGUGGACACCUGGCAGACAAACAUGAAGUUCUAUCAUAUUUGAGGCCAUUUAUCAGACAAUUCAAGCUUGGACCAAACCUAACAUUGGUUCUGAAAUCCGUUUAAUCAAUUGUUUUUAUUUUUCCAGAUGACUGUAAAUUUUAAAAAGGUUAAGGGGUAUUGUAGAGAGAAUUCAUUUUGACUUCCAUAUAAUGUCCACAUUGUUGCAUGAGUGGCUUCCUUUUGAAAUAAUGCUUUUGCUUUAAGUGUGAUUCUAAGCCUGAGUACAUAUGUACUGUUGUAACUUUAGGCAACAAAAUAUCCUUUUAAUUCAUGCUACACUAAUCUUAGAAACACUGCUUUGCAGAAACAAAACACUUUUAGGUGUAUUGCUAUAACAAUACUUAAGUUUUGGGGAGCGGGGGGCGAAAUCUCAUGGGCUUUUUUGGUCACCUUGCUUGCACGGUCACUGGAGAGUGAUGGACUAUUUUAUGUUACGCCUACUUUUAUUCAAGCGGCAGGAUACGGAUCUAAGCGUCCAAACUCUGAGCGCAGAGGACGCUUUGGCUUUGCUUUUGAAAGACGUUCUCUGAUUGGAUAAGACAAACCCGCAUACUCUCCCAGUGUGAAGGGGCCAGUGAUUGGCUCACAGGGAUCUGCAAUGCGUCAAAGCACGGAGCGGCAAUGAGGGCAACGUCUCCACAGCUACAACGUAGUAGAAAAAAGAACAGGUGAUGACUCGCAGGUAAUUUACAGGUGUGUUGCCUAAUAAAGUGGUGAGCCUCAGACCGAAAGAAGGAAUAAGACCUUUGCUACGGGACAAAAGUGAAAGAAAUGGAUGUACAUCCUCCACAGUAGAGGACAAUGAGCACCGAUCUCUGUUGACGUGGCGCCCUCGAACAGUCCGCGGAUUCGGUUGCUGAGACCAUUUUCUGGCAGAAUGGGCAGGGCCCCAUCCAAGCAACAAGACCUACGAAUGAUGAACAUACUCAUCAUCACUUUCAGCCUCACCUCUGAGCUGCAUCCACCAGCUGCUUCCUAUGCUGUUCAGCAACAAUAGCAAACAGACGG